AAGAACGAAGUAUGGAAGCAAAAAGCAAAGGAAGGAGGGAAAGAGGUAGAGAAGGAAGAAAGGAGAGAAAGUGGAAGGAAAAGGGGGGAGGAUGGGAGUGAAGGAAGGAGGGAAAGAAAGAGGAAGAGGGAGGGAAGGAAAG